UUAGAUGUCCGGGGCUGCACGCGCGCUACACUGAAGGAACCAGCGUGUGCUCUCCCUUUCCGGCAGGAAUGGGUAACCCGUUGAAACUCCUUCGUGAUAGGGAUAGGGGCUUGUAAUUGUUCCCCUUGAACGAGGAAUCCCCAGUAAGCACGAGUCAUAAACUCGUGUUGAUUACGUCCCUGCCCCUUGUGCACACCGCCCGUCGCUACUACCGAUUGAAUGAUUUAGUGAGGUCUUCGGACUGGCUCUCGGAGCGGCCUCCGGGCCGGGCCGAGCUGCCGGAAAGAUGCCCGAACUUGACCAUUUAGAGGAAGUAAAAGUCGUAACAAGGUUACC
rnacentral:rRNA from 1 species